UAGCAGCACACAGCAUGUCUUCUGCCUCCC
rnacentral:piRNA from 1 species